rnacentral:rRNA from 1 species
GACAGAGGGGGCAAGCGUUGCUCGGAAUUACUGGGCGCAAAGGGCGCGUAGGCGGGAUGGCAAGUCGGUCGUGAAAUCCUUCGGCUCAACCGAAGAACGUCGAUCGAUACUGCUGUUCUUGAGGGUUGCAGAGGAGACUGGAAUUCCCGGUGUAGCGGUGAAAUGUGUAGAGAUCGGGAGGAACACCAGAGGCGAAGGCGGCGACCUGGACAGAUACUGACACUCAACUGCGAAAGCGUGGGGAGCAAACAGG